GAUGAACGCUGGCGGCGUGCCUAAUACAUGCAAGUCGAGCGAACGGACGAGAAGCUUGCUUCUCUGAUGUUAGCGGCGGACGGGUGAGUAACACGUGGAUAACCUACCUAUAAGACUUGGAUAACUUCGGGAAACCGGAGCUAAUACCGGAUAAUAUUUUGAACCGCAUGGUUCAAAAGUUAAAGACGGUCUUUCUGUCACUUAUAGAUUGAUCCGCGCUGCAUUAGCUAGUUGGUAAGGUAACGGCUUACCAAGGCAACGAUGCAUAGCCGACCUGAGAGGGUGAUCGGCCACACGGGAACUGAGACACGGUCCAGACGCCUACGGGAGGCAGCAGUAGGGAAUCUUCCGCAAUGGGCGAAAGCAUGACGGAGCAACGCCGCGUGAGUGAUGAAGGUCUUCGGAUCGUAAAACUCUGUUAUUAGGGAAGAACAUAUGUGUAAGUAACUGUGCACAUCUUGACGGUACCUAAUCAGAAAGCCACGGCUAACUACGUG
rnacentral:rRNA from 1 species